GAUGAACGCUGGCGGCGUGCCUAAUACAUGCAAGUCGAGCGAACAGACGAGGAGCUUGCUCCUCUGACGUUAGCGGCGGACGGGUGAGUAACACGUGGAUAACCUACCUAUAAGACUGGGAUAACUUCGGGAAACCGGAGCUAAUACCGGAUAAUAUAUUGAACCGCAUGGUUCAAUAGUGAAAUACGGUUUUGCUGUCACUUAUAGAUGGAUCCGCGCCGCAUUAGCUAGUUGGUAAGGUAACGGCUUACCAAGGCAACGAUGCGUAGCCGACCUGAGAGGGUGAUCGGCCACACUGGAACUGAGACACGGUCCAGACUACUACGGGAGGCAGCAGUAGGGAAUCUUCCGCAAUGGGCGAAAGCCUGACGGAGCAACGCCGCGUGAGUGAUGAAGGUCUUCGGAUCGUAAAACUCUGUUAUUAGGGAAGAACAAAUGUGUAAGUAACUAUGCACGUCUUGACGGUACCUAAUCAGAAAGCCACGGCUAACUACGUG
rnacentral:rRNA from 1 species